rnacentral:rRNA from 1 species
AACGAACGCUGGCGGCGUGGAUUAGGCAUGCAAGUCGAGCGAGAACCCCGCAAGGGGGGACAGCGGCAAACGGGGUAGUAAUGUGUCGGAACGUGCCCUCUGGACGGGGAUAGCGGCGGGAAACUGCCGGUAAUACCCGAUGAACUCGAGAGAGCAAAGGUGUGAUUCCGCCGGAGGAGCGGUCGACAUGGUAUUAGCUAGUUGGCGGGGUAACGGCCCACAAAGGCUGUGAUGCCUAGGGGAUGUGAGAGCAUGAUCCCCACCAUUGGGACUGAGACACUGCCCAGACACCUACGGGUGGCUGCAGUCGAGAAUCUUCGUCAAUGGGCGAAAGCCUGAACGAGCGACGCCGCGUGCGGGAUGAAGGCCCUUGGGUUGUAAACCGCUGUCGAGGGGGAUGAAGGCUGGAAGGUACUCCUUCCAGUUUGACAGAGCCCUGGAGGAAGCACGGGCUAAGUUCGUGCCAGCCGCCGCGGUAAGAC